GACGAACGCUGGCGGCGUGCCUAAUACAUGCAAGUAGAACGCUGAAGAGAGGAGCUUGCUCUUCUUGGAAGAGUUGCGAACGGGUGAGUAACGCGUAGGUAACCUGCCUUGUAGCGGGGGAUAACUAUUGGAAACGAUAGCUAAUACCGCAUAACAAUGGGUGACCCAUGUCAUUCAUUUGAAAGGGGCAACUGCUCCACUACAAGAUGGACCUGCGUUGUAUUAGCUAGUAGGUGAGGUAACGGCUCACCUAGGCGACGAUACAUAGCCGACCUGAGAGGGUGAUCGGCCACACUGGGACUGAGACACGGCCCAGACUCCUACGGGAGGCAGCAGUAGGGAAUCUUCGGCAAUGGGGGCAACCCUGACCGAGCAACGCCGCGUGAGUGAAGAAGGUUUUCGGAUCGUAAAGCUCUGUUGUAAGUCAAGAACGAGUGUGAGAGUGGAAAGUCACACUGUGACG
rnacentral:rRNA from 1 species